UGCCAGCCGCCGCGGUAAUACGAAAGGGGCUAGUCUUAUUCGAAAUUAUUGGGCGUAAAGGGUAAGUAGGCGGUUUGUUAAGUCAGGGGUGAAAUCCUACCGCUCAACGGUAGAACUGCCUUUGAUACUGGCAAACUUGAGUUAUUGUGAAGUAGUUAGAAUGUGUAGUGUAGCGGUGAAAUGCAUAGAUAUUACACAGAAUACCAAUUGCGAAGGCAGAUUACUAACAAUUAACUGACGCUGAGGGACGAAAGCGUGGGUAGCGAACAGGAUUAGAUA
rnacentral:rRNA from 1 species